ensembl:miRNA Mir1900 microRNA 1900
GAAGCGUGGGAAGCUAGAAGAGGGCGGAGCCUGGAGGGGACACCCGGGCCGCCCUCUCUGGUCCUUCAAUUCCGCCCC